rnacentral:rRNA from 1 species
CUCUCUGUGACUCCUACGGGAGGCAGCAGUGGGGAAUAUUGCACAAUGGGCGCAAGCCUGAUGCAGCAACGCCGUGUGAGUGAAGAAGGUUUCGGAUCGUAAAACUCUGUCCUAAGGGAAGAAACAAAUGACGGUACCUUAGGAGGAAGCCCCGGCUAACUACGUGCCAGCAGCCGCGGUAAUACGUAGGGGGCAAGCGUUAUCCGGAAUCACUGGGCGUAAAGGGUGCGUAGGCGGCUUAGCAAGCCAGGGGUGAAAGGCAUUGGCUCAACCAAUGUAAGCCUUUGGAACUGUUAGGCUUGAGUGCAGGAGAGGUAAGUGGAAUUCCUAGUGUAGAGGUGAAAUUCGUAGAUAUUAGGAGGAACACCAGUGGCGAAGGCGACUUACUGGACUGUAACUGACGCUGAUGCACGAAAGCGUGGGUAGCGAACAGGAUUAGAUACCCUGGUAG